rnacentral:rRNA from 1 species
GGGGAAUAUUGCACAAUGGGGGAAACCCUGAUGCAGCAACGCCGCGUGUGUGAAGAAGGCCUUAUGGUUGUAAAGCACUUUAAGCGAGGAGGAGGCUACUUUGGUUAAUACCCAGAGAUAGUGGACGUUACUCGCAGAAUAAGCACCGGCUAACUCUGUGCCAGCAGCCGCGGUAAUACAGAGGGUGCGAGCGUUAAUCGGAUUUACUGGGCGUAAAGCGUACGUAGGCGGCUUUCUAAGUCGGAUGUGAAAUCCCUGAGCUUAACUUAGGAAUUGCAUUCGAUACUGGGAAGCUAGAGUAUGGGAGAGGAUGGUAGAAUUCCAGGUGUAGCGGUGAAAUGCGUAGAGAUCUGGAGGAAUACCGAUGGCGAAGGCAGCCAUCUGGCCUAAUACUGACGCUGAGGUACGAAAGCGUGGGGAGCGAAC